UAUACACAUCACUAGCUGAGUGUUAACCAGUGGGUGGUCAGAUGGGAGUUAACUAAGGAACAAACUGUGUGGAGACUUCAGCGUUGCCCCUGAUAUUCUGUGACUUGGUAGUUCUCAGGCAAAUGCAUUUGUGUUUCUGUCGGAGGGGAGAUGCAAAAUUCAUUCAUUUUUUUUCUCAAUAGUAGAUAGAUUUUCUUCUUCGUCUGUGUGUCGGUGGACACAUAGCUCAGCACUCAGAGUCUAAACUGCUAACGUGCACUAGUUCUCCUACAGAGACACAUUUUCAUUAACGUCUCUUAACACUACAGCUGUGUUGCCUGGAACUUUAUCAUGAAAUUCUCUCUUUUCACUCAAAUAUGGAGAUCCUUCCUCACUGAAGAUGUUUGGGGUAUUGCUUCUGAUUCUGCAAAAUGAAAUAUAUUCUACGUUUGACAAGGGGCGAUAAAGUCGUUCAAGCCUUUGGCUUUCUCUCUGUUCACGGUGAGGAGCCCACAGCACUGUGGCGGUGGGGGUGAAGUCACAGAAGACCUUCCCCAUCUGUGGGACUCUCCUUGCCUCUGCCAUUCAGAAGGAAAGCAGUUAAGGAGAAGCACAGAGACUAUGCACUGAAAGCCUAAUGUCGUUGAAAAGCCCCCAAGGACAAGAAAGGUGAGAAGGCAGUGAUGGUGACCUUGGGCUCUCGGGGACUCUAUUAAGGAUCCUCUAAAGGAGGAAGCUUGGGCAGAGAAGACAGCCUUUGCCUGGAGGGAAGGAAGUCACCAUCCAUGUUACUUUCAGUAGAAUGCAACAGAUCCAAUUCAACAAUAUUUCUAGGAAUAGAUUUUGACCAUAUUAUUCUUGACAAGGUAGUCAACCAACUUUGCAUUUUAUAAUAUGAUACAUUAUACAGAUUCUAUAAACUCUUUCAAGAGUAGUUCAUUUAAAUGAGCCAUUUUAAUGGCUCGAAGAUUAAUUUCCAAGUAAAGAGAAAUUGGAUUGCCCCAAUUGUGUGUAAUAUUUGGCAGGAAGUUAGCUAGCUUCCGAACGCAAAGAAAAGUAAGCAACUAAGAAACCCCUGACCAGAAACCUCUUAGAUGCACUGAAGCCUCUUAGAUGCACUGAAGCACAUUUAUACAUUCAGUGCUUAGUAACUGUAAUUUAUUUUGAUCUCUUUUUCUGUUUUCAGAGAGGGUCUCAAAAUGUAGCCCUUUGCCUACCUUUGACAGCCUUUCUGUGUACACAAGACUGGCCUUGAACUCAUAGAGAUAUGACUACCUUUGUCUCCCAAAUGCUGGAAAUAAAGUUGUGUAUCACC